CCGGGGCGGGGGGGAUUUGGCUUUCUUGGGUUUUAUUUGAUAGCUCGCCUGUUUCAAAGUGCUUUUAAUUAGUGACGCCUGGGCAAGCCCACAUUACAAUGAAAAGUGGUUAAUAUCGGACAACGGUCUUAAAACCUCGGACUCUCAUUUGUUUCCUUAAACGGAUUAACGUGGAAAUUCAGACGCGGUUUUCGCUUCAACUGGCAAAAAGAAGUGGACCUGGUGUGACUGCAGCUUCUUUCACAGCCUCCAAGGGCAGAGGGGACACUGACUACUCUGGCAUGAGAAGGUCCUUGGCCAUAAGACAAUUCAGAGAAGAAAGCUUCUGGGGAUGGUGAUAACACUCAGGCUGCACGCAGAAAAUGGAUGGCCCUCAGACUGUAACAUGGAUCCAAAAUCGGUGUGAUUUCCAGGUUUCUUGAGGGGUGUUUACUGAUCAUCAUAGAGAAGCUACAUGAAAAAUAAUUGGAGAAGUUCUCAUUUCUGCAAAAGAUUUAAGUUGCAUAGGACAUGUUCUUCAGGAAACAACUAUGCAUCUUUGCAGUCCAUUAAUUGACAGGCCUGUAUGAAAGAGAGUUAGACUGAUGUUCAGAGAUAUUUGUGUGCUUUUAUAAUCUUAACUACAGUCACAGCUACCCUGGAUAUGAAUUUUCUGAAUAAGAGAGGAUUUCUAACAUAAAAUGUUGCAAGCAGUAAAAAUGGUGUAAAUGAAGGACUUCUUGCCUUGUGGUAUUUUUUAACUUCUAGAUUCAAUUUGUUCUUCUUUUUAAAACCAGGAAAGCUAGAAACUUAAAAAGUGGAAGUUUAGCUGUCCAUGAAAUUACCUGAAUCUAGGAGCAGUAGUUUUGAAAAAGACCCACCGACUAUCAAAAAUGUUGAGCUGAGACCCAGAACAUGAGGCUGUUACUCAGGAAGCCAACACAAAUAGUGUUUUCUCCUUUUAUUGGUAGCUAUUGUAUCACAGGCAGCAGAAUGAGGGAGAACAGGACCAGGUACUGUCUCAUGCUACUGCUACCAUGGAGGCACGCCUGGUCUGUAGCAGCGUUACUCAGCAGCAUGCAUCGCCUUCCCCACAAAACACCUUGCACACAGACACUUUGGAUUAUUAGGAGGUGACUGAGGAUCCUACUGCUGUGUGGAUGUGGAUGGGAGUUCCUCACGGAGCCAUCCUGGGUUUUUAAUCCUGGAUUUAUUCUUUUUCACCUCACUAGCCAUGUUUUACUCCUUCACGGAACUACACAACAAAAAUCGUUAUGAUGAGAUUAAUCCUAGAAAUGAGUCACAAACUUCAAAAAACAUAUAUAUGGGACAUAUUCAGCAAGAAAUGCUAGUCAGUUACUACAUUUACUUGAUUACAUUCAUGUAAAUAUCGAUAUAUGCACAAUCAAUAUCUGCCAGGACUGUGGAAAAUUAGGAAAACUAUAAGUCUCAUAGCAUGACAUUUUUUUAUUGUACAGCUAAAGGGAAGUGUGUAUUGACUCAAUCUCCACAGAAAAGCAUCUAUUUAUUAUUUGAAAUGAGCCAUAUCAAAGGACAAGAUGGAUAUUUCUACAAUGAUAAUAGGCAAAGUAGAACUUGUCUGGAAAUUUUGUUCUUUCUUCUUUAAAUAUGAUCUGCAGAAAAAUAUCAUCAAUUUUUUUUUUCUAUCCAGCCUCAUGAGCAGGGGCUAAGAAACAGUGCACGCAUAAGGGCUUGAAAAUAAAGCUUAUAAAAAACUUUCUCCAUUACAGUCUCCAACAACCUACUUUAAUUUCCAGAGUGUAACAUGCUUUCACAAGUUGCUGCCUGCCACCAUCAUAAUCAUCACACGAGUGAUUUCCAUGCAGGCUGGAGAAUCUCAGCUAAGCACCACUUUAGGGAACACAAGAAAAUGUCUGUUUCUCUGAGGGACACCUUGAAGCUCUAAAAAAAUUGCAAGACUUGCAUCUGUGUAAACUAUACAACAUUUACCUGAAUGAAUUUGCUCUUUGGAGACUUAGAAGUUCUAGACCUCGCUUUGGCCCUUUGGUCAUGGUCCAUGUGCAUCUCCUGCUGUAUCUUCCACAGUCUGCAAACAGAGAGAACUAACUGACUGUGAGCAGCCAGUGGCUCCCUACCAUCAGUUUGUAAGGCAUGGAUAAACAGUUUGCUUUUGAUUUAUGGCAUCAAGCUUGUAGCCUUUAAUACCCCAGGACAUCUGUACAAAUUACUUGGUGAAUCACAUUCUCACAUAUCACCAGUUCUAGGUGAAUUGAGUGUAGCUGCUCUUAUGCAAAAUAUCAGAUAUCAAGACCUCUGCAACUUUGAAGGCUAAAGCAGCUUUCCAAGACUACCUGUUUAGGAUCUCAGAAAUAAAUUGAAUAAAAUGAGAGGUCUGGGUCAGCUGAUCUUCUCAAGAAAUAUCAAGACAAGUUAAAAAAAGUUUUGGGCAUACAGUGCAGAAAAGACACUGGAGCUUAGAUGGGACUGGGUUCUUACAAGACCCAGUGUAUCACUACAGCAGUUUCACCUGCCCUACUAGUCAACUGUUCAUAACAUUCAGAAGAAAAUCCAUUACCAAAUAAUUUUUCAAUUAUUUAUUAACAGUUUAAAUAAUAUGGCAAUAGUUAGGGAGAAUUAAUAGCCUCAUAGCAAAACACUAAAUGAGACCUCAUGGAUAUUUGUACUCAAUACUCUGACAUAUGGGAAGAUUAACUUUGCUAAGAAGUCAGAUCUCUUCCUAAAACUGCAGCCUCCUUGGGCAGUCAGUUCCAUUUAUAACUAACACCGCUCUUAAAAUGUUUCCCUAGAAUUGAAAAUAAAUCUUCUUCUCAAGUCAGGCUUAACAAAAAUCCAUAAAAUAAGUCAGAAAGCAUUCUUCCAGCAUUUUGCAAGUACACUUUUACCACCAUGUUGGCACUUAAUAACAGUUUAAAAAAUAAUAUUCUUAAGGAUAACAGAUUACUUUUGGGGCAGUGAAAUUUCAGAAUAGAUAGUCCAUCUGUCUUAUUGCUUUAAAGAGUUGUUUUUAUGAUUAAACUGAUUAUUAAGCAGAGGAGCUCAGACUGGCAGUUGUGUCAGACUGGCAAUUUACACUUUCAGCAGAGGAUUUAGGAAAACUACACUGUUUUGACAUGUUUCUUUCACUUUGCCUUUUUAUUUGGUUUUAUGAAUCUUCUCCUUUGUUUUAAUUUUGACAAUCUGGAGGAGGUUUAAGAUGCACUUUCUUAAAAUGCUAAUUUUGUUAUUGUCACCAGGCAGUAUCAGAAAACACAGAAAAUCUGAUUACUGAUGCACUAUAACCUUUGUUCUAUUUUAAUGUUAAAAGCAGUUUAAUGACAAUUUGUUUUACAGUCAGGAAUCACUCUUCCUAAAAGUUCACCACAUGGCUGGUAUCUGAUAUCUGUAUGCCUGUGAGAAAGAGAGGACCUUCCUUCAAAGCGUACUUGGAAGUCAAUGACUUGCGAGUCCAAGCCCUUUGCAGAAUUGCUUUCUAUAGAUAUGACAUAACGGGUCUGGUGUCAUAACAGGUACCAACACUCAAAGAAACAUUGACAUGUUGGUUUGGUCUGAUUAUCACUAAAAUGGUAAAACCUUUUCAUUUCAACUCUUUCAUAAACUAAUAAUAUAGCACUGUAACACCUUAAGUGCAUUUGGAAUAUGAUGAAAGAGAUGAAAAUAGAAUAAUAAGAGGAGGGAUGCUGCGAGGGACCUUAAAAUCUAGCUGAAACUUGUGGAUAAAACACAGUAUAGGAGAAGCUAAGCCCUUUGGACAGGCACAGAGAGUUUUCAGACUUAAGAAGAUUCAGGCAGCAGUUACAGCCUGCUGGUUUUGGACUUGUUCUGGUUAAAAUGGCAGUCGCUUUCUGUUAUAACUGUUCCUUAUUAAGCAAAUCUGUUAUCUGCUAAUAAAAUCAUCUGUCAAUGAUAAUUGAGCCUACUUCUUAUUCAGGUUGCCGCGGUGUGUGCACUUCACGCAAUGCUUCUGAACUUUCCAACUCACACUGCUGUGCUGUGUCCCAAAUCACACCAGGGACAGUGCAGCUCCCAAAAGGAGGGCUUGCUCUGGGUUUUGAAAUGAAGAACAUGCUGAAAGCACAGGUACUUUGGGAAGGACCAAAAAGGCAAUCAGCAUCAACGUCUGCAGCCAUGUGUAAUUCCAGAGCAUCUUGUCACCAGACAAAUGGGUCAAAAUUAUUGAAGCUUUCGUCACUACAGAUUCCUGUACCUUGCAGCUGUUCUUUGUUGAAGUGAUAUGGGAAGGCAGCUUUGAAGAAUUUUCUUGGAUCUCAGAAUACUCCAGACAAGAUCUAUGGAUGGGCGUUAUGUUCCACAGUAUCUUUGUAUGAUCUGUAGAUGCAGAUGCAAAACCUGUGAUGAAAGGACCUGAAAAUUAAAAAAGCUUUAUUGUUACCAUA